CCGUCAACAGAUGCUAUAAUUCCAUCACCACCGAGAGCGUCUUGACAAGUUACAAAUCCCCAAAUCUGAAACCACGAACGUUUCGGAACUCACAGUUUCGAAUCAUCACGUACAGAAUAAAAAAAUCAUGCUACUCAAUUGCGAUUAAAAAAAAACAUAAAAUCAUAAAUCGAUUAAAACACAAUUAAGAAGGAAUCGAUUUCGGACCUAGGGUUUUAGAACUUCAAUUGGCUGAUUCCUCGAGAAAUUUCCAAAACUUCGGGCCUGAAGGAGAGCAUAAAUUCGUGAUUGUUGAAAGAAAUGAAUGGGGGGUUUGCUGAAGUUGAAGAAAUGAAUGGGGAUUUGCUAUCCCAGAGUGGGAAAUCGACCCGACCCG
rnacentral:lncRNA from 1 species